UAAUGAUUGCUGGUUCAUUAAUCAUUCUACAUUGCCAUAGGCCAUCGCAGGUACUUCUGAUGCCAAAAUCCUUCUCCUUCACCCUAAUAAUAAUAUUUUCUCCUUCAAACGGCCUCAUCUAAGUUCUUGCCAUCUGUGAAGGUUCUAUGCUCUAAAUGAGAUAUUCCGUAGCCAUUUCGCGUUACAUCGGAAAACUUGAAAAGAAAGGGCUUCUUUUGUCCCUGCUUUAAUUGAUGCAAACUCAUGGCUUAUGUGGUGGACUCGUCAUCUAGGAACCUUUCUCCAAAAAACUCAUCUUUUUGGUCAGAAACAGGUCAUAGGUGAAAUCUUAUCUAAAUAGUAUAUGUUACGAUACAAAGAAGCCUGCAAGUGUAGUUUUGAAGGGCGUAAGUAUUUUCGUUUGCCGUUGCUCCACAAUUUUUUAUUGUAGAGAAAUCCUUAAGCUGAUGAAAGAAAGGUUGGAUUGAACUUCCUACUUGAACUGACGUCUUUCUUCUUCUGUGAAUAAGCUGAUCAGUUAUGGACGUCUAGAUCUGAUUGUAAUGGAACAUUUAGUUCUCUAAUGAUUUAAAAAUAUUGAUUAUAAACUUAAUAAUUUUACAGCUUCUCCCUUUUGAACGGAGGACUAGUGCAUAUUAUUCCA